CCGUGCGGCGGAUCGCGAAGGGAGAUAUCAUUCACCCUAUGUUUAUAUACUUUUGUUGCUUUGGCGGGCCGUCCGUAAGGCGUCGGCCCCGGCUGAUCGCGCCCGCCAGAGGACCUAAACUCUUCUAUUAGUGAUGUCUGAGUACUAUAUAAUAGUUAAAACUUUCAACAACGGAUCUCUUGGUUCUGGCAUCGAUGAAGAACGCAGCGAAAUGCGAUAAGUAAUGUGAAUUGCAGAAUUCAGUGAAUCAUCGAAUCUUUGAACGCACAUUGCGCCCGCUGGUAUUCCGGCGGGCAUGCCUGUUCGAGCGUCAUUAUGACCAAUCAAGCUCUGCUUGGCCUUGGGGCCCGCUGUACCGGCGACCCUUAAAACCAGUGGCGGUGCCGUCUGGCUCUAAGCGUAGUAAUACUCCUCGCUACAGUGUCCAGGCGUCCACCCGCCAGAACCCCCAACUUUUUCAAGGUUGACCUCGGAUCAGGUAGGGAUACCCGCUGAACUUAA
rnacentral:rRNA from 1 species